UUCGCCGGCGUUUUCUUUUUCUUGAACAGAUUGUAAACCCUAUAUAUCAUGUUUGUUAUCUUUAAGGAUGGCUUGGUUGAUGCAAUUCCUGUAUCACUCACAGAUCAACUAGAGGAAGAAAUUGAUCCCUGAGGGAGACUGGCAAAUCUUGGAAUUCAGGCUGCAAACCUUCAAGUAGGUUUGGUAAUGAACUUUUCCUUUCCUUAGCACUUCAUUUACCCCUUGUUUUUAGUUGAUAUACUGUAAUGUUAAUUUUUUCCAGUAGCGCUUUGCCUUAUCUAAUUGUUUGAGCACGCUUAGGGCAUUUAUCUUGUGAUCUUAGGCCACAUCUGAAGAAAAACAUAGGCACUAUUUUGAUUUCCAGCGUAGAAGUGGCCAGUUGCCUUUAUGGAAGGAGGUCAGUAGAAAGCAUACCAUAUGUAACAGGGCGAGUAAGUUGAUUACAAGGUGUUCUUCAUGAUGAUGGUUCUGUUCUGAUUUCAGUUUACUUGGAUCAAUUGAAAGUAACCUCCAUUUUUUUACCCCUUUUUUGUGGCUUGUAUUGAUAUUUUCCUUGUGUGACCCCACCAAAAGAUAUCUCGAUACGGCUAUUUUCUAAUCUAAACACGUAUGGCUUUCAGCAGUCUCUUAAUUUUCAUACGUUUAGCAAGAAUGCUACUUUGUUACUUGGGUUGAUAAAAUAGCUACAGCACAUUGAGGCAAAAGGCAAAUGUGCAUGCUCCUUAUUGCUUAUCAUGAAUAAUAAAUUUGAAAUUAGUCUCAUGUAAAUUUAGUUCUUUCUAUGCUAUGAAUUUGAUGUAUAAAUCUAUAUCUUCGUGUAUAAAUUCAGAGGUUGCAGUACAAAUUAGACUCAGUACAAACAAUUGCUCAUGGAGCAUGUUAAGUUUUUCAAUUUCAAAGUUAGAUUUAUAUACACCUAUGUUCUGUUCAAUCAUAUUUGCUUACUGGUUUAGUGUAAAAAGAUCAAGGUAUGUCCAUUUGUCAUUCUGGAAGUGAUAUAUACUUUUUAGUAGUAUUCAGGUAUACCAUAAAGGUCUUAAUUAAUUUUGGGUACUCAGGAUUAUGAACCUUCUGUUUCCAAUCUGGGUGCCUAGCUAGGACCACCAUGCUCAAAAAGGUGAACGACAGCAAUUUUCCGAUGCAGUCGGCCGACGGAGGAGUCGCUGGCGCCUAUGGUGGAGGUGAAUGCGGACGGCAAGAUCUGUGCGGCGGAAGGGGCGGAGGAUGCAGGCCGAGAAGGGUCGCCGAGAGAGUCGGAGCACUCCAUUGGACAGAUCGAACCUAGAGCUCCGAAAACGAAGAGUGAGGGUAGGUGCUGCUCCGCCGGAAAAGACGCCAUGUCCUAAUCGGACUACUGCUCUGGAGAAGACUAUCUGUGGUUUUGCCGACAAUGCUGGGGACAAUGUCAUAGUGGCAACUUUGGGUGCAAGCUUUGAUUCUCUUGGUGAAGCCUACUACUUCUACACUUGUAUUCAUGGGAGAAAGGAUUUGACAUUAGAUACGUCAAGAGUAGGCUAAAUGUGGAGAGGACAAAAUGCAUGCAGGAGAUUGUUUGUGGUUGUGCGGUAUGGGGGAAGACGGGGGUUGAGAACAGAGGACCGUGCCAUUGUGAAUGCCAUGCUCUCAUCAAGUUGUUGCGGUCCAAGGCCAAUGACUGGUACAUAGCAGAAUACCGUGAGGAGCACAACCGCUUGGACUGGAAGACAUGAUUGCCAAAAAUGGUGGUGUCAUGUACCAAAUUCAGACUGAAGGGGCACUUGUUGCAACGAUGAUGUUAAUUCAGCAAAUGACUCUGGGAACUGAAUUGCAGGACUAUUGCCACCGGCAAAUUAAAAGGAAGGAGAUGGGCAGGUCUACGACCAGCAGAGAGAAAGUGACUUACUAUGGCCUGAGCAAGAAGACCACAUUCUGCACCAUUUUCCGGCGACAGGGCACGAAGGGACUAUGUGCCCAGACUGCGGAGAUGUACCAAAGCAGGCUAGGAGACGUGCUCGAUGCAAGAACUGUGGAGUCAAAGUUCACUGCCGGAACAAUUGCAACAAUGCAGCGGAGCUACGUCUGAAAGUGAGUUGACUGAAAAAUUAGGGAUGUACCUGAGACAGUACUUGCAUGGUUAGGAUAAAUGGUGUAUGCGCAUGACAAUUUCCAGAUAGUGUGGACUGAUUUGUUGUAGCCUGUCUCAUGGUGAAGAUUUAAAAUUUCCGUUGCAUCUGUUGAUCCACAACUAUGUCUUGAUGUAUUACUUGAUACUUCCUGUGUGGAACUUGUAAUAAAUAGUUUGUUGGCUGAA